CACCAAGCUAAUAAGGGCGUACGGUGGAUGCCUAGGCGCUAGGAGCCGACGAAGGACGUGGCAGGCUGCGAAAAGCCUCGGGGAGGCGCCAAGCAACCCUUGAUCCGAGGAUGUCCGAAUGGGGAAACCCACCAGCGGUAAUGCGCUGGUACCCGUGUCUGAAUACAUAGGGCACGUGGAGGGAACCGGGUGAACUGAAACAUCUCAGUAACCCGAGGAAGAGAAAACAAAUAGUGAGUCCCUUAGUAGCGGCGAGCGAAACGGGAUGAGCCCAAACCUCUGUGGUGUUAAAGCCUGGUGGCGUUGCCACAGGGGGGUCGUGGGACACAUCUGAUCCUGCACCAGAAGGAUCAGGGAGUUACAAAACAGGCGGUUAGCCGAACUUUUUGGAAAGUUAGGCCAUAGACGGUAAUAGCCCGGUAGGCGAAAACCGACCUGUCUCCCGAUGUUGUUCCCAAGUAGUACGGAGCCCGAGGAAUUCCGUGCGAAUUUGCCAGGCCCACCUGGUAAGGCUAACUACUCCCUAGCGACCGAUAGUGAACCAGUACCGUGAGGGAAAGGUGAAAAGUACCCCGGGAGGGGAGUGAAAUAGUACCUGAACCCGUACGCCUACAAACAGUCGGAGCACGACACUUGUGUCGUGUGACGGCGUGCCUUUUGAAGAAUGAGCCGGCGAGUUAGCGAUGCGUGGCAAGGUUAAGGCGAGAGCCGUAGCCGGAGCGAAAGCGAGUCUGAAUAGGGCGAACUUAGUCGCGUGUCCUAGACCCGAAGCCUGGUGAUCUAUCCAUGGGCAGGCUGAAGCGGAGGUAAGACUUCGUGGAGGGCCGAACCCACUUCGGUUGAAAACGGAGGGGAUGACCUG
rnacentral:rRNA from 1 species